CAAACGGCCCUAUUCAGGGCCCCCAAAAACUCAUACGAGAACACCU
rfam:Lasius niger Lnig_2.1_18901, whole genome shotgun sequence.